UGGCGCAUCGUUCAGUGGUUAGGACAUCGGGUUUUGAUUCCGGGAACGGGGGUUCGAUCCCCCCUGCGCCAA
rnacentral:tRNA from 1 species